AUCUAGCUGAUGUAUCCUAAAUAGGACGAAAUGUAAGUCCUGGAU
rnacentral:hammerhead_ribozyme from 1 species